UGGGGAAUAUUGGACAAUGGGGGCAACCCUGAUCCAGCGACGCCGCGUGUGUGAAGAAGGCCUGCGGGUUGUAAAGCACUUUUAGUGGGGAUGAAAAGCACAUCACUAACACUGGUGUGUCUUGACCUAACCCAAAGAAAAAGCACCGGCUAACUCUGUGCCAGCAGCCGCGGUAAUACAGAGGGUGCGAGCGUUAAUCGGAAUUACUGGGCGUAAAGCGUGCGUAGACGGUUAUUUAAGUCGGGUGUGAAAGCCCCGGGCUCAACCUGGGAAUUGCAUUCGAGACUGAAUAGCUAGGGUACGGUAGAGGGAAGUGGAAUUUCCGGUGUAGCGGUGAAAUGCGUAGAUAUCGGAAGGAACAUCAGUGGCGAAAGCGACUUCCUGGACCAGUACCGACGUUCAGGCACGAAAGCGUGGGGAGCAAACAGGAUUAGAUACCCUGGUAGUCCACGCCAUAAACGAUGAGGACUAGACGUUGGAGGGUAAGCCUUUCAGUGUCGUAGCUAACGCGCUAAGUCCUCCGCCUGGGGGA
rnacentral:rRNA from 1 species